rnacentral:rRNA from 1 species
UACAGAGGGGGCAAGCGUUAUCCGGAAUUACUGGGCGUAAAGGGCGCGUAGGCGGCCCGCUAAGUCGAACGUGAAAUCCCCAGGCUCAACCUGGGAACUGCGUCCGAUACUGGCAGGCUUGAAUCCGGGAGAGGGAUGUGGAAUUCCUGGUGUAGCGGUGAAAUGCGCAGAUAUCAGGAGGAACACCGGUGGCGAAGGCGGGUCUCUGGGCCGAUACUGACGCUGAGGAGCGAAAGCGUGGGGAGCGAACAGG